ACACCGUCUAGCUCAGUCGGUAGAGCGCUGGCCUUUUAAGCCAGUGGUCGUGGGUUCGAGCCCCACGGGGGGUG
rnacentral:tRNA from 1 species